rnacentral:lncRNA from 1 species
AUGGCGGGCGCCCCUCCCCCAGCCUCGUUGCCGCCUUGCAGUUUGAUCUCAGACUGCUGUGUUAGCAAUCAGCGAGACUCCGUGGGCAUAGGAACCUCCGAGCCAGGUGCGGGAUGUAAUCUCGUGGUGCACCGUUUUUUAAGCCAGUCCGAAAAGCGCAAUAUUCGGGUGGGAGUGACCCAAUUUUCCAGGUGCGUCCGUCACCCCUUUCUUUGACUCGGAAAGGGAACUCCCUGACCCCUUGCGCUUCCCAAGUGAGGCAAUGCCUCUCCCUGCUUCGGCUCGCACACGGUGCGCGCACCCACUGACCUGUGCCCACUGUCUGGCACUCCCUAGUGAGAUGAACCCGGUACCUCAGAUGGAAAUGCAGAAAUCACCUGUCUUCUGCGUCACUCAAGCUGGGAGCUGUAGACCGGAGCUGUUCCUAUGCGGCCAUCUUGGCUCCUCCCCAGAAUAUGGCCUUUUUAAGAAUGCAGUGGAGGUGAUACUAUGGUCAUAAUGACCAGGGGCUGGGUCAGAAGAACUUCAGAUUGAGCCUCUUGAAACAUUUGCUCUUGGAAUUCUCCCUCUCAGGAAACUAACAGCCUGCUAUGAAGCCCAAGCCACAAAGAGAGGCCAAGGGGAAAUAAACAGAGUGUGAUUAUAUGCAAAACCUACAAGAAUGAGGACCUCCAAACUCAGUGUACAGAGUGAUUUUCUGCUGAAACAAUUGGCUUUUAAAAAAUUGUGUGACUGACCAGCAGCAGUGGCUCACAUCUGUAAUCCCAGCACUUUGGGAGGCCGAGGUAGGUGGAUAACGAGGUCAAGAGAUUGAGAUCAUU